UCAUGGCUCAGAUUGAACGCUGGCGGCAUGCCUUACACAUGCAAGUCGAACGGCAGCACGGGAGCAAUCCUGGUGGCGAGUGGCGAACGGGUGAGUAAUAUAUCGGAACGUGCCCGGUCGUGGGGGAUAACGUAGCGAAAGCUACGCUAAUACCGCAUACGAUCUACGGAUGAAAGCGGGGGAUCGCAAGACCUCGCGCGAUUGGAGCGGCCGAUAUCAGAUUAGGUAGUUGGUGAGGUAAAGGCUCACCAAGGCGACGAUCAGUAGCUGGUUUGAGAGAACGACCAGCCACACUGGAACUGAGACACGGUCCAGACUCCUACGGGAGGCAGCAGUGGGGAAUUUUGGACAAUGGGGGCAACCCUGAUCCAGCAAUGCCGCGUGAGUGAAGAAGGCCUUCGGGUUGUAAAGCUCUUUUGUCAGGGAAGAAACGGUGAGUUCUAAUAAAGCUUGCUAAUGACGGUACCUGAAGAAUAAGCACCGGCUAACUACGUG
rnacentral:rRNA from 1 species